AAAGCAGCAACACCCCUCCCCCUCAUCCUUCCUCCCUCCCUCCAUCGCCUCAAAAACCAAACGCAGAACACGCACGCCGAUACACCCCGCGUGAGUCGCUGAAGCGUCAUCCUCCCCCUCCCCCUCCACCCACUCGCUCCCUCACGAGCGAUCGACGUCGAUACGCCCACACACGAUCAACCCCUUACUCGCGGCGAUGGGCGCGUGCGUGGUCUCUGUGAUGGCGAAGCGCAACGCGGCGCAGGUGAUGCCCGACCCGCGCGCCGAGGAGCUCGAGCGCCGGCGUGCCGAGUGCGGCGGCAACUUCGUGCAGCGCGUGCCCGGCACGGAGAGCGAGCACGCCUCGGCCAUCUACCGCAUCGCCGGAGUGACAGCGGAGCAGCACGAAGCCAUCCUCGCGGCGGCCGCGGCGAAGCCCACCUUUUACACAACGCUGAUGCGCCACUGCGCGGAGCGCACGGACCAGCGCGUGCUUGGCUACCGUCCCGUGAAGUGCGUCACAAAGGAACCAGCGCCGUCGACGUCACGCGGCAGCACGAGCGAACCGGCGAAGAAGGAGCGGCUCAUGAGCAUCACGCACUUCGACGAGGUGGUGUACGUCACCUACUCGGAAAUGGAGGAGCGCAUCUUCCACUUCGGCGCCGGCCUGGCCGCCCUCGGCGUCACCGCCAACGGAAACGUUUCAAUCUACCUCGACACGUGCGUCGAGUGGCUGAUCGGCAUCUACGGCAUCUGGUCCUGCAGCGCCGUCGCCGCCACCGUCUACGCAAACCUCGGCGAGGCGGCCCUGGCGCACGCGUUGCACGAGACGGAGAGCCAGGCGAUUCUGUGCGGGUCGGCGAAUGUGGCGAAUGUGCUGAAGCUGAUGAAGAACGGGGUCAUGCCGCAGGUGCCGAUCAUCUACGUCGGCACCCUGCCGGCUUCGCUCGACACGCACGGCGUGCAGGUGGUGAGCUUCAAGCAAGUGGAGAUGAUCGGCGCGGCGCACCUCGAGGGUGGCGCGGCGAAGGGCACGGGGCCGUUGAACGACGACGACCUGGCAUUGAUCAUGUACACGAGCGGCACGACCGGUGACCCGAAGGGUGUCAUGCACACGCACCGCACGUUGGCUGCUGGCCUGCACACCCUCGAGCCGCGCGUGGUCGACCUGCUCGGCCAGCCGCACUCCGACGACGUGUACCUCUCCUACCUGCCCAUGGCGCACAUCAUGGAGUUCACCAUCACAAACCUAUUCAUCUUCCGCGGCGCCUUUAUCGGCUUCGGCACGCCGCGCACGCUGACGGACACCACGGCGCGGCCGCACGGCGACCUGCUUACGUUCAACCCGUCCAUGCUCGCUGGCGUGCCGCGCAUCUUCGACACGCUCAAGAAGGCCGUCGAGGCGAAGCUGCCGCCGGUGGGCACGCUCAAGCGACAGGUGUUCGACCACGCCUACCAGAGCCGGCUGGCGGCGCUGAAGAAGGGCAAGGACACGCCGUACUGGAACGAGAAGGUGUUCGCGGCGCCGCGUGCCGUGCUCGGCAACCGCCUACGGAUCAUGCUCAGCGGCGGCGGCCCGCUGUCCGCCGCGACGCAUGAAUUUGUGAACGUCGUCUUUGGCCGCGUGGUGAUUGGCUACGGGCUCACGGAGACUAUCUGCGUCGGGGCGAUUCAGAUCCCCGGCGACACGGAGACGAACGUGACGGGCUUGAUGGAGCCCGGCCAGGAGAUCAAGCUGCUCGACAUUGACGAGUACAAGCACACGGACACGCCCGAGCCGCGCGGCGAGAUGCUGUCUCGCGGGCCGUACCUGUUCAAGGGCUACUACAAGCAGCCGGAGCUGACGCGCGAGGUGCUGGACGAGGAUGGCUGGUUCCACACCGGCGACGUUGGCAGCUUUACCGCUGACGGCAAGAUGCGCAUAGUGGGGCGCGUCAAGGCGCUGGCGAAGAACUGCCUGGGCGAGUACAUCGCGCUGGAGGCGCUGGAGGCGGUCUACUCUGGCAACGAACUGCUGCAGCCGAACGGCGUGUGCGUCCUCGUGCACCCAGACAAGCCGUACAUCACAGCUCUUGCGCUGACGGACGAGGCGCGUGCAACGAGCUUCGCGGCGAAGCACGGUAUCGAGGGCACGUACCCGGCCCUGCUGAAGGACCAGCGCUUCCAGCAGGCGGCCGCGAUUUCGAUGGCCGACACGGCACGCGCCUCGAACCGCGCGUCCUUCGAGUGCGUGAAGCGGGUGCGCGUCAUCGACGACGAGUGGACUCCGGAGAACGAAAUCUUGACGGCUGCCCAGAAGCUGAAGCGCCGCGUCAUCGAUGCGCAGUACGCACAGACGAUCGCAGAGCUCUUCACGGAUGAUUAGCUGCGUCGACGUGUUUGUUUGUCUGUCUGUCUGUGUGUGUGUGUGUGUGUGUGUGUGUGCCUCAGGGACUAAGUGUGACGGAGACGAAGAGAGGGAGAACCGCUAACGCGAGCACAACACGCCAUCCAGCGGUGCAACGGGCCGCCGUGUCCGUGGUGCAUCCGAUCCGCCGAGUUCCGCAGUGUUACAUGCGGGGGUAGUGUCUCUCUCGGUUCUCGUUCUCUCUGCCCCCCCCCCCCAGCCGCCCUCCUCCCACCCGCAACACAUACAUACACCGCGGACCUCUUUCUUUUCCUUAUUGACCCCCCCCCCAUGCCCUUGACGCGGUUGCAUGCAGGCAUGUAUAUAAUAUGUAUAUAUGUAUACAUAAUAAUAUAAAUCACAUGGUCGUAUCCCUCGUACGCACAUGUACACAUAUGUAUGUAUGUAUAUAUAUAUAUAGAUGGGGGUAUAUGCGCUCUAUAUGCAAUAUAUAUAUAUAUAUAUAUAUAUAUAUGUGUGUGUGCGUACGAGGGAUAGAGAACGAUAUAUUUACUAUUAUCUUCCACUAGGUUUUGGCUGUCGCUUGUCAGUGCAGGAGGAGCCGUGAAUGAAACACGUUUUGCACCACGGCUGUCUCUCUGUCUCGCACACACGCACACAAACUCUCUCUCGAUCUCUUCACUAGCUUGUUCGUUUAUUUUUUUUUUUUGGGAGGGGGGGGUCUUCACAGUUACGCGCUCCUGUGUGCGUGUGAUCACUCUCACACACCGAUCGUGUAUUCUGUGGUGUCUUUACUAUGAAACGACUGCUGAUGUUGUGUGGAUGCGUUGUAGCCGGGGGUAUAUCCCUCGCUCUCGCUUUCUCUUUUUCGUUGUUGUUCUACCUUUCUGUGUCAUGUAUGUAUGCACGUGUUUCCCCUUAGCCUCUGAGCACGUCUCCCUUGUUGCUGUUUUGUUGUUGUGCUCGAUGACGCCUGUGCGUUGGUGUGCAUCUGUCAGCUGUCCCCUUCCGUUGCGGCUGCUGCUGGUAUAUCGCCUUCGCACUUCGCGUCCCGGCCUUUUCUCGUUUCUCUUUUUUUUUUAGUUGCGCUCGUGACGCCCCUCCCCCCCCCUCCCCCACCCCACACUGCUCGACUCUUCUUCUUUGUCCAUCGGCACACGCACACGCACACGCACGUGGAUGCGUUCUCCGUGCCGGUUGCGUGCGCGCGCACCUCUGCGCACACACGCAACUGAAGAGAGAAGGUGGGGAAGAGAGAGAGUGCCGUGAAGUACAAGAGAGCAUUAUAAAGACCCACACACACGCGCGCGCACAUCAGACAUCAGAAUAGAUGAAGCAAAUUCACAAGCAGCGGCGUUCGCGAGCGCGAACCUGUCGCCCUGCCCUCCCUUCCAGCUGUUCCUGCGCUCGCCUUCCUUCCUUCGUUUUCCUUCUUCUUGUGCACCCAUGGAAGGCCUGGCCAGCAUUAGUGUCAGCGUCGUCACGCCAGCACUGUCUCCUCGGUGCGUGUGUCUUCUCAUCUCUGCCCGGCCACCCCCUCCAUGGCGCCGUUGCCUAUUCCGCUCCUGUUCUCGUUGAGCACGCAGAUCCAGGACAAGUCUUCGUGGUGCGCCUCAGAAUGGCACGAUGGCUUGUCGUAAAAGGAGAGAGGAAGAAAGAGAGAGAGAGAGAGACAC
rnacentral:misc_RNA from 1 species